AUUGAACGCUGGCGGCAUGCCUUACACAUGCAAGUCGAACGGCAGCACGGGUGCUUGCACCUGGUGGCGAGUGGCGAACGGGUGAGUAAUACAUCGGAACAUGUCCUGUAGUGGGGGAUAGCCCGGCGAAAGCCGGAUUAAUACCGCAUACGAUCUACGGAUGAAAGCGGGGGACCUUCGGGCCUCGCGCUAUAGGGUUGGCCGAUGGCUGAUUAGCUAGUUGGUGGGGUAAAGGCCUACCAAGGCGACGAUCAGUAGCUGGUCUGAGAGGACGACCAGCCACACUGGGACUGAGACACGGCCCAGACUCCUACGGGAGGCAGCAGUGGGGAAUUUAGGACAAUGGGCGAAAGCCUGAUCCAGCAAUGCCGCGUGUGUGAAGAAGGCCUUCGGGUUGUAAAGCACUUUUGUCCGGAAAGAAAUCCUUGGCCCUAAUACGGUCGGGGGAUGACGGUACCGGAAGAAUAAGCACCGGCUAACUACGUG
rnacentral:rRNA from 1 species